rnacentral:lncRNA from 1 species
GGCAGAGAUGCUGUGUGUGCCAGGUCAGAGAGCAGAGGGGCAGCCCACUAGCAGCAGACUGUUCUCAGCAUUGAGAAAUGCACUACUCUGCUCUCUACACACCCUACCCACCCUCAUGGCUCUGCCACAAAAUUAAAAGAUGAUGGUUGAUGGAGAUUCUCAGGAGUGCACACAGUGUUCAGACUCACACAUCCAGCUGCCUGUUCAGCUCAACUUGACUGUCGCAAGGGCUCCACAGCAGACAGGUCCAAAGCCACUCAGGCCAAUUCCUCACUCCCGCUGCUCACCUGGAAGCCCCUUCGUGAAGACGGCACCCUCAG